AACGAACGCUGGCGGCGUGCCUAACACAUGCAAGUCGGAUGUGCCGCAAGGUGCAUGGCAGACGGGUGAGUAACGCGUAGGGAAUCUACCUUUUGUGGGGAAUAACGCCCCGAAAGGAGUGGUAAUACCGCAUGAGACCGUGACCUGGGAUGGUUACGGUGAAACCUGGGGACCGCAAGGCCUGGGGCAAAAAAGAGGAUCCUGCGUCUGAUUAGCUAGUUGGCGGGGUAAUGGCCCACCAAGGCGACGAUCAGUAGCCGGCCUGAGAGGGUGAUCGGCCACACUGGAACUGAGACACGGUCCAGACUCCUACGGGAGGCAGCAGUGGGGAAUUUUGCGCAAUGGACGAAAGUCUGACGCAGCAACGCCGCGUGGGUGAUGAAGGUCUUCGGACUGUAAAACCCUGUCGUCAGGGACGAAGGUGGCAGUGUUAAUAGCGCUGUUACUUGACGGUACCUGGAGAGGAAGCCCCGGCUAACUCUGUGCCAGCAGCCGCGGU
rnacentral:rRNA from 1 species